GCCGUGGUUAACACGGAGGAAGGUGGGGAUGACGUCAAGUCAUCACGCCCCUUAUGUCCAGGGCUACACACGUGCUACAAUGGCCGAUACAAAGGGAUGCGAAGCCGUGAGGCGGAGCAAAUCUCAAAAAGUCGGCCCCAGUUCAGAUUGCAGGCUGCAAUUCGCCUGCAUGAAGCUGGAAUCGGUAGUAAUCGCGGAUCAGCUACGCCGCGGUGAAUACGUUCUCGGGCCUUGUACACACCGCCCGUCACGCCAGCUGAGUCGGGAGCGCCUGAAGAUGUCUUUUUAAGGCAUCGAGGGCGAAACCGGCAAGGAGGGCGAAGUCGUAACAAGGCAGCCGUACCGGAAGGUGCGGCUGGAUCACCUCCUUU
rnacentral:rRNA from 1 species